UGAGGAAUAUUGGGCAAUGGGCGAAAGCCUGACCCAGCCACGCCGCGUGUGUGAUGAAGGCCUUCGGGUCGUAAAGCACUGUGGGGAGGGACGAACAUGCGCAUGAGGAAAUGCUUGCGCACUGACGGUACCUCCUUAGCAAGCACCGGCUAACUCUGUGCCAGCAGCCGCGGUAAUACAGAGGGUGCGAACGUUGCUCGGAUUUACUGGGCGUAAAGCGCGUGUAGGCGGACUCGCAAGUCGGUUGUGAAAUCCCUGGGCUCAACCUAGGAACUGCAUCCGAAACUGCUUGCCUUGAGUAAUGGAGAGGGUGGCGGAAUUCCCGGUGUAGAGGUGAAAUUCGUAGAUAUCGGGAGGAACACCCAGGGGGAAACCAGCAUACUGGACAGGUCCUGACACUCAGGUGCGACAGCGUGGGGAGCGAACCGGAUUAGAUACCCGUGUAGUCC
rnacentral:rRNA from 1 species